UACGUAGGGUGCGAGCGUUGUCCGGAAUUAUUGGGUGUAAAGAGCUCGUAGGCGGUUCGUCGCGUCGGCUGUGAAAUCCCGAGGCUCAACCUCGGGUCUGCAGUCGAUACGGGCGGACUGGAGUUCGGUAGGGGAGAGCGGAAUUCCCGGUGUAGUGGUGGAAUGCGUAGAUAUCGGGAGGAACAUCAGUGGCGAAAAGCGGCACC
rnacentral:rRNA from 1 species